rnacentral:lncRNA from 1 species
GGCUCCAUCCAGCAAAGGCCAAGCAUGUAACUCCCUUAUCAGCUUGUAUGAGCACAUUGGAAGCACCAAGAGUGAGGUCAGCUCCUCCUUGAAACAUCAUUUGAAUCUCAGGUGCCGCCGACAUAGUCUUGACAGUCCCCAGGAAACAGCAAUCCAAUAUCGAAAUUGCUGGGGCUUGCGCAUACUUUUUGGACAUGAUCUUUACAAAGGCAUCUCGCAAGGCAGAAUACAAAGACCUAGGCAGGCGUGUGAUGACAGUUCCAGAGUCUAUGAUGGUUGGGACUCUAUACUCAGCAGCAGCCACCCUCAGAGGGAUACCUGCCACAGUUAUAGAUGUCAACCUUAGGUAGUAUAAACUAGGAUUCUGAUGAGGAUCUGUGAUCAUGGGAGUGAAC